rnacentral:lncRNA from 1 species
UAAUAGAUUAGAUCUAUUACCUCGCAAGUUAGAUGUUCUAACUUUGCUAAUCUGGGCUUGAGGAUGAUAUUGCAAGCCGCACAUAUGUCCGGCCUCUAGGAGUUAUCCACACGAGCCCAAAAAUCACGAUCAGAAGUCCCGGUCCAGGAAAUCAGAACAGUAUGCUAUCAGAUGCCUCCUUCUUGAUUUGGACUCUUCCAAAGAUUAGAAGUAGGAGAAGGAGUUUUAGAUGUGAGACACUCUCAAAAAACUCACAGA